UACGUAGGUCCCGAGCGUUGUCCGGAUUUAUUGGGCGUAAAGCGAGCGCAGGUGGUUUAUUAAGUCUGGUGUAAAAGGCAGUGGCUCAACCAUUGUAUGCAUUGGAAACUGGUAGACUUGAGUGCAGGAGAGGAGAGUGGAAUUCCAUGUGUAGCAGUGAAAUACGUAGAUAUAUGGAGGAACACCGGUGGCGAAAGCGGCUCUCUGGCCUGUAACUGACACUGAGGCUCGAAAGCGUGGGGAGCAAACAGG
rnacentral:rRNA from 1 species